rnacentral:rRNA from 1 species
CAGAGUACCACGGGACACGUGAAACCCUGUGGGAAGCAGGAGGGACCACCCUCCAAGGCUAAAUACUACCUAGUGACCGAUAGCGUAUAGUACCGUGAGGGAAAGGUGAAAAGAACCCCGGGAGGGGAGUGAAAUAGAACCUGAAACCCUGCACUUACAAGCUGUGGAAGCACAUUUCUUGUGUGACCGCGUACUUUUUGUAGAACGGGCCAACGAGUUACGUUAAGUAGCAAGGUUAAGCACUUAAGGUGCGGAGCCGUAGCGAAAGCGAGUUUUAACUGAGCGUUCAGUUACUUGACGUAGACCCGAAACCGGGCGACCUACCCAUGAGCAGGAUGAAGCGAAAGUAAAAUUUCGUGGAGGUCCGAACCCACGAGCGUUGAAAAGCUCGGGGAUGACUUGUGGGUAGCGGUGAAAUUCCAAUCGAGCCCGGAGAUAGCUGGUUCUCCCCGAAAUAGCUUUAGGGCUAGCCUCAAGGUGAGAGAUACGGAGGUAGAGCACUGAAUGUCCUAGGGGGUAUUGCACCUACCGAAGACUAUCAAACUCCGAAUGCCGUCAUCUUAUACUUGGGAGUCAGACUGUGGGUGAUAAGAUUCAUAGUCGAAAGGGCAACAGCCCAGAUCGUCAGCUAAGGUCCCUAAAUGUAAGUUAAGUGGUAAAGGAUGUGGGAUUGCACAGACAACCAGGAUGUUGGCUUAGAAGCAGCCACUCAUUCAAAGAGUGCGUAAUAGCUCACUGGUCGAGUGAUCCUGCGCCGAAGAUUUCCGGGGCUAAAACUUACUACCGAAGCUACGGCAUCAGUAAUGAUGGGUAGGGGAGCUUCCCAUACGGGUUGAAGCAUGACCGUAAGGACAUGUGGACAGUAUGGGAGUGAGAAUGUUGGCAUGAGUAGCGAGAUGUGGGUGAGAAUCCCACAGGCCGUAAACCCAAGGUUUCCAGGGGAAGGUUCGUCCGCCCUGGGUUAGUCGGGACCUAAGCUGAGGCCGAAAGGCGUAGGUGAUGGACAACAGGUUGAUAUUCCUGUAC